rnacentral:lncRNA from 1 species
CCUCCCAGGCUAUAAUAGCGUCCCACGCUAAGCGCUCUACUCACAUAUGAUGAGGACCGCUAAAUAAUGGCUAGCUAACAAUAAAUAUAUAUAUAUAUAUAUACCGAUCGGUUGCCUCUCAGGCUAUAAUAGCGUCCCACGCUAAGCGCUCUACUCACAUAUGAUGAGAACCGCUAAUAAGACUAUAAUAGCGACUCACAUAUGAUGAGGACCGCUAAUAAGGUUAGCUAGCAAUAAUCUAUAUAUCAACCCUUUUAUGGUGAAGUACAAUAUUAAAAUACAAAGAUCCACACUUCCCCAAAUAAAUUAUAAUAAACUCAUAGCGCACAGUACAGGUCCAACUGUACAUGGAAAUAAUAUAAAACACUUGACACGUCCCACGUGUCAACUAAAAUUAGCAAGAGAGUUCCGGAAAAAAAAUAAGUGGAACUCGAUAAUCCAACAAAUUAUUAUAUCUCCAAAUGUCUUUGAAAUUAAAUAACUUUAGCGCAUGCAUGAUAUUAAAAUCAAAGGUCCACUCACCGCGCUAGGCUAUGCUUGCCGACGGCCCGAGGCUUCCUCCAAAUGAUCCUUCUCACGUCCUGAACAAUAAAUAAUCAUUAAGCCUCCAAACCAGGACAAAACUUUAAUAAAAUUCCCGAAAUAAAAAGGAAGCCUAUAAUUUCAUUUCUCUUGCCCAACUUCUCCACAUUUUACCUAAUAAGGUUCACAUUACUCCGCACUUACCGAAAGCCAUAAUUUAACCUUUUUAGACUUUAAAACCUGCUAAACCAACUGCCGAAUUUCCAUUCGAAUAACCGCCUAAAUCCUUAAUCAUAGAUAAAUCCUAAACCUUAUCAAAUCUCCUCCAAAAAUUCCAAACUAUACUUCAUUAAACUCCUCUCAUUAAAACAAACCCAAAAAGCAUGAAAAACUGCCCCUAAGGGGCGGCGGCGGCGGCUGGCCCGCCGGUGGCGGCGGCCGGCAGCCGUUUUCCCGCGACCUCCAAUGCUUCUCAAAUUUUCACAGAAUAUUCCUCUCAUCAUGCUCAACAACAUUCAUAACUAGCACUUAGUCCAUUUCUAAGGCU